AGCUGCAAACACACAAUUCAAUUACCACCAGCUUAAAUUUAUUGUUUAAAAUGGCACUUGGGUUUAAUGCUUUUUCAAUACUUCUUUGUCAUUUGAAAUCAAUUCAUAAAACUCUUUGCACGUACUAUUUAAAUUAACUUUAAUUCCAAGCCUUAGCAGAAUCAAUAUUUAGCAGGUUGCUGCAAUCCAUCCCGGUCCAUUGACACAGGGGGAGGCAGAGCCUGCUGCCCCACAGGCCGCCCCGUGCCCCCCAAGAUGGCAGCCAGCUCCUGGGGACCCUCCGGCACCCGGCCUGCCACCGAGUGCCACUGCGUCCCCUCGCCCGCGGGCCCUGAGCAGCCCUUCUCCACCUUCUGGAAUCGGUGUCGCCGGCCCAACACCAUCAGUGGGUUCCCAAAAGAGCACCCAUGAUAUGUGGUAUCACAAAUGCUUCACUGAGACAGCCUCAGAAGAGAAAGAGAGUUUUGCAUUGAGAAAACCUUGAGCAGAAGUUGGAUUCACAGCAACAGAAGAGCA